AGGUUCAUCUGUGAUAUGUUUUCAUGGUGUGGGAAUAAGACUUGGUGGCCUAAUACAGCUAAUACAAAGGUUAGCAUCACAGCUUGUCUGUAAGGAUUGAAGCUGGGAAUGGGCAUUGGAGCUGACUUUUAUGGUAACUGUGGCUGCAUAAAAUGGCUAUGUGAUUUCACUGUAACAGUAAAGAAUGUAAUUCAGACUAUUUUUGUGUAUGUUCGAGAAAAUGUUUACAAUUUUUACAAAAAAAAAAAAAUUAUGUACAGGUUCUCCAUUUUCAAUAAGAUUGGAAGUUGUAGGUUAGCUUGUCUUGGAAAUUGUAAAAAUUACUUUCUAUUUUCUGUUCAUACUCAUGUCUAGGAAAAACACUUUCAUUAGUUUAAAAAUGGAGAAUCUUAAAAAAGGAAAAAAAAAAAAAAAAAAAAAAAGAGAAAAGAAAAAAAAAAUGUUCAAUUGUUGAAAUGUAUUUUUUUUUUUUGCAAAGUGAUAUAUAUAUUUUUUCCAUCUUUUUGUUAUUUUUAGCUGACUUUGUAACAAAGGGUAUAUUUUUUUAAGAAUAUUUUACAAGGAGCAUAGUUGAAGAAUAUCUUGAUGAAAGUAUAUUGAUUGAUUUUUGGUAUUUAACACCACUUUCAGCAUGAUCUUCUAUAUCUUGCCUGCUGGUUUUUAUUUGUGGAGACAGCCAGAGUGCCUAGUGAAAACAUCACCUUCAUCAGAGAAAGUGACAACUAUGGACAAUUAAGAUUGAAGUUAAACACACCUACAAUGUGAGGGUUCAGAGUGUUGACAGACUAGUGAUACAGUAGUUGAACUACUUUGACCAUUCAGCCACCAUUACUCCAUCAGCACUAAAUAUGUUUUUGAAAUGUGUUGGAUUUUUGUAAUUUAAUUAUUUUUUUUUUUGAUUACACUAUUUUAUAUGUUUUUUUUGGUUAUAUAUAACAAAGAUUUGGCGAAUAACAGGGUGAAAUUUAGGUCAAAGGGAGGUAAUUUAUUAUACUGUGUUUAACUUCAAAUACUUGAAAUUCCCUCAAUGUUAGAUUUUUCUUUAGUUGGAUACUCAGGUUUAUGCACUUUUCUACAUAUCAGAUGUUUUCUAGACAAUAGAAAUGUAUGGUGGGAAAAAUUAUGUGUCACUUAAAAUGAUUAUGUGAAAAUUUAAAAAAAAGUUUAUUAAUUGAAAGUGCAUCUGAUAUUUUUUAUGUAUGUUACUUUAUUUUCUAAAAACAAAUGGACACAACAUAGAUUGUCAAUAAGAUAAUGAGGAGAACCAUCUUGGCAGCCAGGAUAGCAGCUCCAAGGAAGAUGGUCAAUAAAAUCUUCAACCAAAGUCUGAGCUUUACCAUGAAAA